rnacentral:rRNA from 1 species
GACGAACCGUCCUAACGUUGUUCGGAAUCACUGGGCUUAAAGGGCGCGUAGGCGGGCGAGCAAGUCUAGGGUGAAAUCUUUCGGCUUAACCGGAAAAUAGCCUUGGAUACUGCUGGUCUCGAGGGAGGUAGGGGUCGUUGGAACUUCCGGUGGAGCGGUGAAAUGCGUUGAUAUCGGGAGGAACGCCGGUGGCGAAAGCGAACGACUGGGCCUUUUCUGACGCUGAGGCGCGAAAGCCAGGGGAGCAAACGGG